UGCAGGAGUUUGACACUAAUGAUAAAAGUAUCAUUGCAUUAGUGUGGAGAGAGCAUCUGGGCAGAUGCAGAUGUAUCAUACCAAAAUGAUUAAAUGGUACCACUUAGAGCAGAGGUAGUUUAUAUUGGGGGUGAUAUCCAAGUAGGACCAAUAUACUACACUUGCCAUUUGGUACCUUUUCUACAGGUAGGCUGCUUCUGCUCUAAUUGUUAAUGCUUUAUCUGUAGCUGAAGACUGCAGUACUCAGCUGUGAAAGCACCUGGGAUGCUGACAGCCAGAGCACAAAGCUAAGCCCACUUGACUAAUCUUGAUGUGGUGCAUUUCUGUUUCUGAAAGGUUGCCUUGAUAUUUUCCUGGCUCUGGUGUUUUCAUGUUUUGUUUUUUUUUUUUUUUGUGAUGCUUUCCCUUAUAUCAUGGAGGUAAAUUAACUGUUGUUCCGGUUAAACAUGCAUUUUUGCUUGGGGCCAGACAGCUUGUGCUUGCACAAAGGAGACAUGCUAGGUGGUUGAGAAUUUCUAGGAAUAAGUAGUCAGUCUGGAUUUUUAUUGCAAAAGCUUAAGUUUCUUUUAAUUGAGUGUUCAUUUCAGAAUGAAUUACUUAGAACUCUAAGCUUCCUGACUUACUUGAUUUCCAUCCCUUAUUACUGCCAUACCCUGUUUUCCCUGUCAUUUACUAAUUCAAAGCAAGACCCCCUUAAUAGUUGGAAAACCUCCUGCAACAUCAGAAAAAAAAAAAAAAAAGAGGAGUGGAACAAGAUUUAGGUGAGUUAAUUUUGAAGUAUUUGUUGUAUAGAGAAUACAGGAGAACAUGUUCAGGCUUGAAUUAGGUACGUGCUUUAUCUCCCAAAGAACAGCUCAGAAUAUUUUAUGGAGUUUUCCAGAAGUUCUUUCAAAUUAGGUGUCUCUACAGUACUUUAGUGAAUUUUGAAAAUUGCUCUGCACAUCAGUGAAUUUUCCUUUUUCCUUUUGUACUUAAUCCCUCCAGUCUUUUGUGAUAGCCCAGCCCUGCUUGCUAUGUUGGAGAGACACUAUCAAAAUCCCCUUAAAUGCCAGAGCCAUUGGAUAAAGGGAUAAAGAGACAGCAACUUGCAGAGAUGCCCUAUUGCUGCUGUUUAAAAGCAAGAAGUACUGAAUGGUAACCAAAUGACUGUGGUCAAAUACACAGAGUUAUUUCUAUAGAGCAGGACUUUCAAAAGUACCAGACUGAACAUCAUACUUAGAACUAUGCAGCACUGAUACAGCAACAAAUUAAUGAGGACAAACAAAACUUGACAGAAAAGACUGUAUAUGGAAUCCAGCUCACAGAAGAAAAACUUAAUGACUUCCGUGAUGAACAAAUUGGGCAGCUGAAGGAACUGAUGGACGAAGCUACCAAACCUCAGAAAAAAAACGUUUCUAAAGACUCGGAACACAAAACCUAAAGGGUUUUAAAAGUUGUUUUAAUGCAUAUGGAAGCAUUUUGAAACUUCCUUUCCAGUUGAACUUGAAUGGGGUUUCUUUGGAAUAAUGGGCAGUGCUGCUGCCGUGACUUGUCUGAAUCAGAUGUGUCUGGCUGUUAGGGCUUCUAUGCAAGAAUAAAUGUUAAAAUGGAAUAAUCACAAUAAUUUUAUGUUAAUUGCAGGGGUUUUUUCUCCUAAUGGAAGGUGGAGACAUGAAGAUUUCAAUAAAAGUAAAUUGACAUAUUUGAAAUAGAAA